AAGAAAGUAGGUGCCGCCCCGCACAGGGGCAACGCCAAUAGACCGACACGAAAUCAAGGAAAGGCGAUGAGCACAGGCCCAACCUCAACCACGCAAUCACCCCUUCACGCGCUUCCCUU
rnacentral:sRNA from 1 species